UACGUAGGGGGCGAGCGUUGUCCGGAAUCAUUGGGCGUAAAGCGCGUGUAGGCGGCCCGGUAAGUCCGCUGUGAAAGUCCAGGGCUCAACCCUGGGAUGCCGGUGGAUACUGUCGGGCUCGAGUCCGGAAGAGGCGAGUGGAAUUCCCGGUGUAGCGGUGAAAUGCGCAGAUAUCGGGAGGAACACCAAUGGCGAAGGCAGCUCGCUGGGACGUGACUGACGCUGAGACGCGAAAGCGUGGGGAGCAAACAGG
rnacentral:rRNA from 1 species